AGUGUACAUGAAUAAAUCUUUUCCCAAAGGUGAAUAAACAUAUGGUUUCCUUAUAGGUCGAUACGUAUGCAGUAUGAAUCGGACAGUGAACAACAUAGCGACAUCACUGAACUAUAUUGAUGGAACAAACUGUGGGAAUACCGACCCAAACCAUAUAUCUAAGUGUUAUCAGGGGCUCUGUAAGGUGAGUGUCUCCUUGAAGUUACGCUAAAUUAAAAAUGAAACGUAAUCGGAAAUCAAAUUAAUGAGACUUAAUGGCGAUAAUAGCAGAAACAUAUCGGUACACUCGUAAGACACCAGGAGCGUACUAUAAAGGUUGUUCAUUUGAUUUUUCAGAUUAUCAAGGUGUUGAUCAAAGCGUGAAGUGUUUCAAUUUAUCAAAUAGAAAUGAAAAAGUACAACUUAAACAGUAUUUUACAACUGGAAUUCGGUUACUAGUGAUAUCAGUGAACUGAUUUGGUGUCGUUUAAAGUAUUUUCGGUGGACACACCAGAUCUCUUCUCGUACAUUCACUGAAAGACCAAUAUACAUAGAACACAUAAACGAUAGAGGCUUAGUUAAUUUGAUGUUCUUACUGCAAUUGUAUGUAUUUUAGUGUUCAUCGUAUUAAGAUUAUUAUAGAGCUCUGCUCUCAAUCAUAAUUGCUCUAUGUUGGACUAACUUAACAGUUUUACAGUAAAAAAAAAUGCGAGAGCGCCAAUUCAUCAUUGCGCUUAUGUGAUAAAAGUUGCUAUUGCGCCAAAUGUUUUGUGCGCCAAAAUUAGUACAUUUAAAGUAUUUAUUAAAAUGUUGCAUAACAGAUUUUUGGAUGUGAUGGUUUUCUGGAGUCGUCCUCGGCGUUUGAUGUAUGUGGAGUGUGCAACGGAAACGGUACACAAUGUCGUCGCGUAGACAGGAUGUUAGAAUUCCGUCCACAGAACGACAACAUAGGCAAAAACGUGUCAUUUAAAAUACCAGCACAAUCAACGGGAAUUGUUAUACGAAAUAAUAACAGGAAUAUUGUCAAACUGAAAUGUGACCGGGUACCAGUGGGGGAC